rnacentral:rRNA from 1 species
GACGAACGCUGGCGGCGUGCCUAAUACAUGCAAGUAGAACGCUGAAGGAGGAGCUUGCUCUUCUGGAUGAGUUGCGAACGGGUGAGUAACGCGUAGGUAACCUGCCUGGUAGCGGGGGAUAACUAUUGGAAACGAUAGCUAAUACCGCAUACAGUAGAUGUUGCAUGACAUUUACUUAAAAGGUGCAAUUGCAUCACUACCAGAUGGACCUGCGUUGUAUUAGCUAGUUGGUGGGGUAACGGCUCACCAAGGCGACGAUACAUAGCCGACCUGAGAGGGUGAUCGGCCACACUGGGACUGAGACACGGCCCAGACUCCUACGGGAGGCAGCAGUAGGGAAUCUUCGGCAAUGGACGGAAGUCUGACCGAGCAACGCCGCGUGAGUGAAGAAGGUUUUCGGAUCGUAAAGCUCUGUUGUAAGAGAAGAACGAGUGUGAGAGUGGAAAGUUCACACUGUGACGGUAGCUUACCAGAAAGAGACGGCUAACUACGUG